rnacentral:rRNA from 1 species
AGUGCAGCAGUCGGGAAUAUUGCACAAUGGGCGCAAGCCUGAUGCAGCAACGCCGCGUGCGCGAUGAAGGCCUUCGGGUCGUAAAGCGCUUUUCUGGAGGACGAGGAAGGACGGUACUCCAGGAAGAAGGCUCGGCUAACUACGUGCCAGCAGCCGCGGUAAAACGUAGGAGCCAAGCGUUAUCCGAAUUCACUGGGCGUAAAGCGCGUGCAGGCGGCCGGGUAAGUUGGCUGUGAAAUCUCCUGGCUCAACUGGGAGAGGCCGGUCAAGACUAUUCGGCUCGAGGACGGUAGAGGAAGGUAGAAUUCCCGGUGUAGUGGUGAAAUGCGUAGAUAUCGGGAGGAAUACCCGUGGCGAAAGCGGCCUUCUGGGCCGGACCUGACGCUCAGACGCGAAAGCCAGGGGAGCGAACGGGAUUAGAUACCCCGGU